rnacentral:rRNA from 1 species
GACGAACGCUGGCGGCGUGCUUAACACAUGCAAGUCGAACGGAAAGGCCCUGCUUUUGUGGGGUGCUCGAGUGGCGAACGGGUGAGUAACACGUGAGUAACCUGCCCUUGACUUUGGGAUAACUUCAGGAAACUGGGGCUAAUACCGGAUAGGAGCUCCUGCUGCAUGGUGGGGGUUGGAAAGCUUCGGCGGCUGGGGAUGGACUCGCGGCUUAUCAGCUUGUUGGUGGGGUAGUGGCUUACCAAGGCUUUGACGGGUAGCCGGCCUGGGAGGGUGGCCGGCCACAUUGGGACUGAGAUGCGGCCCAGACUCCUACGGGAGGCAGCAGUGGGGAAUAUUGCACAAUGGGCGGAAGCCUGAUGCAGCAACGCCGCGUGCGGGAUGACGGCCUUCGGGUUGUAAACCGCUUUCGCCUGUGACGAAGCGUGAGUGACGGUAAUGGGUAAAGAAGCACCGGCUAACUACGUG